rnacentral:rRNA from 1 species
CCUACGGGAGACAGCAGUGAGGAAUAUUGGUCAAUGGUCGGGAGACUGAACCAGCCAAGCCGCGUGAGGGAGGAAGGCUCUGUGAAUCGUAAACUUCUUUUGUAGGGGAAUAAAGACUGGGACGCGUCUCGGGUUGAGCGUAUCUGACGAAUAAGCAUCGGCUAACUCCGUGCCAGCAGCCGCGGUAAUACGGAGGAUUCCAGCGUUAUCCGGAUUUAUUGGGUUUAAAGGGUGACGAGGCUGUUGGAUAAGUCAGCGGUCAAAUCCCGGGGCUCAACCCCGGACCGGCCGUUGAACCUGGCGGUCUCGAGUUUCGGAGAGGUAUGCGGAAUGCACGGUGUAGCGGUGAAAUGCAUAGAGAUCAGACAGAACACCGAUUGCGAAGGCAGCAUGCC